UAAACACGCGAUUGCGUAACCCUGGUGCAUGACUCAAAGAGUUGAGAAGGGGGAUAUGGUGUCAGUUUCAAAGAUAUCCCGUUCACCUUGAGCUCAUCUAUACUGACGAGUGCUUCCUUCCAUCUGGGAUCCUUUUCCUGUUCCCAACCAACAUCCAGAACUCAUCUCGCUACAGUGCUCGCCACAUGGUUGUGUUUCUGUCUUGUUCCCAUCACCCUGCCCUGCUGGGGUCUGGGAAAACGAUGACUUCAUCUUUGUAAACCUCUCUCACCCACACAACACUCCAACCAACCACAGCUGAAGGACAGGCAUUUCCUCCGUGGCCCAAUGGUUAAGAUCAUCGCUUGCCACCGUAGGGGACCUAGGUUCAAAACCCCGACUGGACCAUCCGCCAACAUCCCCCGGACUCACGACUGUGGUGUCCUUGAGCAAGACACUGAUACCCCGAAAUGCUCCCUGGGCGCUUCAGCUGCCCCCUGCUCCAGUGUGUUCCACUAACAUGUGUAUGUGUUCACUGUGAUGGGUUAAAUGCAGAGAACACAUUUCGUGUGCAUGCAUGUAUGUUCAUGACAAUAAAAGAUGAUUCUUCUU